AUUGAACGCUGGCGGCAGGCCUAACACAUGCGAGUCGAGCGGAUGAAGGGAGCUUGCUCCUGGAUUCAGCGGCGGACGGGUGAGUAAUGCCUAGGAAUCUGCCUGGUAGUGGGGGAUAACGUCCGGAAACGGGCGCUAAUACCGCAUACGUCCUGAGGGAGAAAGUGGGGGAUCUUCGGACCUCACGCUAUCAGAUGAGCCUAGGUCGGAUUAGCUAGUUGGUGGGGUAAAGGCCUACCAAGGCGACGAUCCGUAACUGGUCUGAGAGGAUGAUCAGUCACACCGGAACUGAGACACGGUCCAGACUCCUACGGGAGGCAGCAGUGGGGAAUAUUGGACAAUGGGCGAAAGCCUGAUCCAGCCAUGCCGCGUGUGUGAAGAAGGUCUUCGGAUUGUAAAGCACUUUAAGUUGGGAGGAAGGGCAGUAAGUUAAUACCUUGCUGUUUUGACGUUACCAACAGAAUAAGCACCGGCUAACUUCGUG
rnacentral:rRNA from 1 species